rnacentral:misc_RNA from 1 species
CGGAGUAGCCGCUAUAGAGAACGAGAUGGUGUGGAAUUGACCAUUAUCAAACAUCAUGAGAAAAGACCUUCUUGCAAGUCCAACUAUCAAAAUAACAAGUCAUCUCAUUCUUUAUCAGAUUCUUCUAAUAAUCAUGGUGUGCAGAAGGAUGAUGAAAAAUGGGCUGUUAGAGAUAGGCAUCUAAGACACUCGUAUGGGGAUCACAGUUCGAAUGUUCUGGCAAAAAAUGCAUUUGAGGAUAGGUACAACCCUGCAGAAUCUCAUGACACAUAUGAAGAUGGUGUCUACACUGGAAACAAGUAUGUCAGACAAGAAGAAUUCCAUGAAUAGGCUAGCAGCAUUUCUGCAAAGGCUUGAGAAACAUUCUGACAAAUUGCAUAUGGUUAUCCUAAGAAAUUUCCAACUAGUUUCCUGUUGUGGGAUUACAAAAGAAGGCAACAAUGUUUUCCAGAGAAUAUGUGUGAAGUUUUUGGAGCUCCAUAUGGUUUGAAAAGAAGGUUGACAAUGAAAUUAAUGAAUUUCUCACCAUGGUAAGAUGAUUUUUAUAGGG